CUGCUGUGCACUUAUGAGAGUUUUCUCAGCUGUCAUUUAGAAAAUCCUGAGGGCGGUUUUCUCAUUCUUAGUCAUCCCUCCUCAUCACCCUCACCUUCAAAAAUACUUUGUGGGCUAUGGAUGGUGCCAGAGAAGAGUCCACACUCCUACACAGGCGGGCAAGGCUUCUCUCACUUCUGCAGCUUCGGCCUCUAUCAACACUACUUAGUGAUACAAAGACCUGCUCCAACCAAUUCAACACAUUUCCUGGUUUGGAAAUAGGACUUCACUCCUCUGAGAAUGGCCUGUGUGACGGAAUGCCUGCCCAGCCGUUCCUCAGCUGCCGCUAACGCCACAUCUGGAGAAUUCUUCAAGCAUCUCUGUUUUGUGCUGGUGUCAGUGUUUUCCGAACUUGAGUUCGCUCAAUGGCAAAGCCAGGGCUUCUGGUACAUCAUCCUGCUGAUGGCUUCUCUCUGGUUCCUGAGGCUCUACCUGCAUUAUCUCAGCCAGUGGUUUUUCCUCCAGGCCACUUCAACUCCUGUUACAAAAUUCCGUUUUUCCCCCCUCACGGUGGAACUCUGCUACCCAGCCUCUUCCCUUCACAUCGCAGAAGAGAUGCUUGUGGUUGUGGUGGGGCCUUUCCUGCUGAACGCAGUGGUACUUCUCUUGGUUCUGGUCAGAUGGGGCUGUCAGCUACUGUUUGCCUUCUGCCCUGAUGUCCUGUCAAAGUUAAUCAUCACCAUGGGACUAUGGGCAGUUCUGGACCCACUGGCUGUAUUUAUUGUGGAUACUGUCCUGGGGCGACUCACACAGAGUGGGGAGACUCCAGUAGCUGAUGCAGCCAAACUGUACUGGAUGUUUGAAAGAACCAUGCAAUCUGGAAUUCUCGGUGUGAUGCUCACGGUGCUACUUUAUGUCCUACUGUUCAUCAUUUCGACUUUGAUUUUAUAUGUGUAUUGUCUCAGAUUGCACAAUGAUUCUUGGAUAUUAGACACAUUUCAGCGCAUCCACAGUGAAGAAAGCAAGUUCUUUAUACCAUAUGAUUUGGAGAUUUCCAAUCAGGAGCUAAGCUAUAUCAUAAAAAGAUCUGAGCAGUGGAGAGGAUUCAAUGGUGAGAGAAGGAAGUUUCUCCUAGAUCCUUUGUGUCUAUCAAGAAAUCUGCUGAGAUGUCGCGGAAGGAAAGUCUGUCACCUAGGGGUUGGAAUAAAUAGAAGUGAACCUUCAGAGUUUCUGUCCCAUUUGCAGUGCUAAUUAUUUUUGGUUCUUGUUGUCAGGACACGCUGCAUAUACUAUAUUGUGCACCCUGACUUAGCUUACAGUGUAAUUCAUUUGCCUACUCUUCACCAGGAAAAGUUCAUAUCCCAUGUCAGCUCUAC
rnacentral:lncRNA from 1 species